rnacentral:rRNA from 1 species
GACGAACGCUGGCGGCGUGCUUAACACAUGCAAGUCGAACGAAGUGGCGAACGGGUGAGUAACGCGUAAUCAACCUGCCCUUCAGAGGGGGACAACAGAUGGAAACGACUGCUAAUAACGCAUACUGAAGGAGGGGAGUGCGUCUGAUUAGCUAGUUGGAGGGGUAACGGCCCAACAAGGCGAUGAUCAGUAUCCGGUCUGAGAGGAUGCACGGACACAUUGGUACUGAGCCACGUCCCAGACUCCUACGGGAGGCAGCAGUGGGGAGGCGUCCGCAAUGGACGAAAGUCUGACGGAGCAACGCCGCGUGAGUGAUGACGGCCUGCGGGUUGUAAAGCUCUGUUAAUCGGGACGCGGUACCGGAAUAGAAAGCCACGGCUAACUACGUGCCAGCAGCCGCGGUAAUUC